rnacentral:rRNA from 1 species
AGUGAACGCUGGCGGUAGGCCUAACACAUGCAAGUCGAACGGCAGCACAGUAAGAGCUUGCUCUUACGGGUGGCGAGUGGCGGACGGGUGAGGAAUACAUCGGAAUCUACUUUUUCGUGGGGGAUAACGUAGGGAAACUUACGCUAAUACCGCAUACGACCUACGGGUGAAAGCAGGGGAUCUUCGGACCUUGCGCGAUUGAAUGAGCCGAUGUCGGAUUAGCUAGUUGGCGGGGUAAAGGCCCACCAAGGCGACGAUCCGUAGCUGGUCUGAGAGGAUGAUCAGCCACACUGGAACUGAGACACGGUCCAGACUCCUACGGGAGGCAGCAGUGGGGAAUAUUGGACAAUGGGCGCAAGCCUGAUCCAGCCAUGCCGCGUGGGUGAAGAAGGCCUUCGGGUCGUAAAGCCCUUUUGUUGGGAAAGAAAAGCAGCAGGUUAAUACCCCGCUGUUCUGACGGUACCCAAAGAAUAAGCACCGGCUAACUUCGUG